rnacentral:rRNA from 1 species
UACGAAGGGGGCUAGCGUUGUUCGGAAUUACUGUGCGUAAAGCGCACGUAGGCGGAUCGUUAAGUUAGAGGUGAAAUCCCAGGGCUCAACUCUGGAACUGCCUUUAAUACUGGCGAUCUUGAGUCCGAGAGAGGUGAGUGGAACUCCUAGUGUAGAGGUGGAAUUCGUAGAUAUUAGGAAGAACGCCAGUGGCGAAGGCGGCUCACUGGCUCGGUACUGACGCUGAGGUGCGAAGGCGUGGAGAGCAAACAGG